CACAAAAGGCCAUUGAAUUGCUCUUCAACAUGAGACUUCACCCCUUCCUCAUCUCACACAGAAUGUCUCUCUCGCUUCUUUCAGUCUUCAUCUUUCUUCAAGUCUUUGCCAAUGUAAGUUAUUAGUAAUUUUAAUGUUUUCAAUUCCAUUUAGUGUGUGAAGGACUAAAAAUAGACUUCAAAUAUUAUCUAUUUACGCGCAUUAUGCGUUUGUACAUUUCAACUAACUAUAUAUUUUGAUUAAUCACCGAGCAGGUUGUUUUUGCUGCUUCAAACGAGGAAUCCAAUGCAUUAGUAUGUUUCUAAAUUUCUUAUUUCCGCUCUAACUAUUUAAAUGUGUAUACUUUAAGCAUUGGUUAGGCUAAUAUACUAUUUAUUACGUAAUAAAGGUAAAACUGCUUUCUAAAAAAAGGUUUAAACUUGGUAUUCCAAUGCAAUUGACAGGUUUCGUUACCUACGUCACCGACGUCCCCGGCAAUCAAACCACCGUCUCCGUCAUACAAGCCACCCUCAUUUCCUACUACUCCGAUUAAACCACCCACCAUUACACCACCAGUCAAACCCCCAACCACUCCGGUUCCACCCACAUCACCACCUACGUACAAACCUCCAACUGUUAAACCACCUACAACAACACCGGUCAAACCACCUCCGGUUCAACCACCUUACAAACCCCCAACGUCACCGGUUAAGCCACCCACGAUGCCACCAGUCAAACCACCACCUACGUACAAACCCCCAACGCCACCUGUUAAGCCACCCACGAUACCACCAGUCAAACCACCUACAGCGCCGGUUAAACCAACCCCAAUACCUCCAUAUAAGGCACCACCUGUCAAACCGACCCCACCACCGCCAGUCACAACACCACCGCCAGCUAAACCACCCGUCAACCCAAUCCCAUCACCUCCGGUCAAUGCACCACCUGUUAAGCCACCGUACAAACCUCCGACACCGCCUCCCGUCAGACCUCGGAUAAGUAAGUUAAGCUAAUAAUAUUUUUUUUGUAAUAUUGUAA
rnacentral:lncRNA from 1 species